GAACGCUGGCGGCAGGCUUAACACAUGCAAGUCGAGCGCACUCUUCGGAGUGAGCGGCAGACGGGUGAGUAACGCGUGGGAAUCUACCCAUCUCUACGGAAUAACUCAGGGAAACUUGUGCUAAUACCGUAUACGCCCUCAAGUUUUGGUGAUUUGAGGGGAAAGAUUUAUCGGAGAUGGAUGAGCCCGCGUUGGAUUAGCUAGUUGGUGGGGUAAAGGCCUACCAAGGCGACGAUCCAUAGCUGGUCUGAGAGGAUGAUCAGCCACACUGGGACUGAGACACGGCCCAGACUCCUACGGGAGGCAGCAGUGGGGAAUAUUGGACAAUGGGCGCAAGCCUGAUCCAGCCAUGCCGCGUGAGUGAAGAAGGCCCU
rnacentral:rRNA from 2 species